rnacentral:rRNA from 1 species
UACGGGGGGGGCAAGCGUUGUUCGGAAUUACUGGGCGUAAAGCGUGCGCAGACGGUUGCGUAAGUCAGAUGUGAAAGCCCCGGGCUCAACCUGGGAAUUGCAUUUGAGACUGCGUAGCUAGGGUGCGGAAGAGGGAAGCGGAAUUUCCGGUGUAGCGGUGAAAUUCGUAGAUAUUCGCAAGAACACCAGUGGCGAAGGCGGACUCACUGGCCCGGUACUGACGCUGAGGUGCGAAAGCGUGGGGAGCAAACAGGG